GGGGUUUGUUCCUGGGGAGCUGAAUAUAGCCACCCUUUUUUAAGUGGGCUUUGUGAAGCACACUUUCCCCUACUACUGCUGUCUCUAGAUGCUUGGGUUUGAAGCAGCUUGGCUUCCUGGGCUGAUCCCUGCCUCCAGUGUGGUUUGGAUGCAUUCCUGAUGAAAAACGGAGUCCUGGCUCCUCUGCAUCCAUGGGGCAAGCAGGAGAUGCUGUUUUCUGCUUUUUUCCAGCAGUGGUUGCAAGGAUGCCUCAGGUUGCAAUGCCAGUUGCUGCUUCCAUUUAUACUGAGGAUCAUUUUCUCUUCUUUCUGGCUUGGUGAUCAACAGCAACAGAUUGUUCCAGCAAUCAACACUUGCCUUUGUCUCAAAGCAUACUGUCAGUGUAUUGACUGUGCUUAUAAAGGAUACUGCUUGCAGAAGUCAACUCUGCAGGAGUUUGUAAAAUGGCCUUUUCUACUAUAAUGAGAUAGUUUAUGGAUUUAAUGUCUUCAACAUAAUGAUGAAUCUGCUUCUGCAUUUGUCCCAGUUGUACAUGAGUAUAUCUGGAGGACAGUUGUUAGUGUGGUCUGUCGUCAGACAGCUCUUCUGCCUUUUUUCUAUAGUGUGAGUUUAUUUCAGAAGCCAACAGUGAUUCAGACAACUCCUGUGAGCAAUGAGUUAACUUCUGGUUCUUCUGCUCAGAUUAAAAGAUCAGUAGCAAACUGUUAUGGAGGCACUUUUUUUCAGAAGCAAGUUUAUUUUGUACAACAGGCAGCUUUGAGCUAAUCAAUUCAAUACUUUGCUAUUUUUGAAUGGAGUGAAAAUAGCUCCUCUGCUAGAAGAAACACAGCAAAUUUUGUUAAAAAAAAAAAAAAAGGAAAAAGAGCUAAAUUGUCUGUUGAAUCUACCUGAGACAUAGUUAAUUGCAGCAGGCA
rnacentral:lncRNA from 1 species